CUGUGAGGUGCUGAACCAAGUGGAAAACCUAGUCGGAGCAGCAAACGGGUGGGGAGGAGUGGUGGUGUUUUUAUUUUGGCUUGUAAAUUUAAACUUAGACCGAUUUUUUUAUCUAAAGAAAAUUCAGCGCUGAAAAAGCGUACUGCUUGUAUUUAUUUUUUAAUUUACCCCUACAUAUGGUAUACGCCUAUGCUUAAUUUUUAAAGGAAACAGGCUCAACAUGUUUAAAAAGUAUUUCUUCAAGAAAAGAAGUUUCAUAAUUAAGAUAACGCUGACUAAAUAUUUGGGUCUAGCCGUUUGCUAGUAAACCAAGUCAUAUUUUGUACUAGAAAGAGGAGUGAAGGAAAAGUGAAAAGAAGACUAAAUCAACAUUCUGCUACCUUGAUUGAACUCGGGUGUUGUUGUUGUGCACACAAGAGAUAAGCCUGACUUUGAUGAAGGAUGUGUAUUUAUAAUUAAAGUAAUAUCUACCAAGCACAAAUAUAUUUCUUCCUUCUAACAACAGACUUCGUGUCACUUACACAGAGUUCAAUGAAAUAAGAAACACGUCAAAUAUAGUUCAAAAAUAUUUAAAAAAAACAACAAACAAACAACAAAGCUUUAUAAGCCUCAUGAAUCCUUGAUAUCAGUUUUCCUGUAGUUUUGAGUACAGAACUAUCAUUGUAUAUGUCUUCAUCUUUGUAUUCGUCUCUCCACCUAGUUGAAUAACGUAGUGUAGAAGUUGGGAAAUCACGAGCGAUAGUCUGACCCAGAGGACAGACACAUUUGGCAUACAGUCAAGAAACGUGUCUAUGUUUCGUCUUGAUACAGGUCAGACAAACAUGAAGCAGAUAGAAUGAAACAACAUUUUUCUCGGAAGCUGAAAAUUAUUAGGAUUGGUUAGAUUUGCCGACCACAUUCUUUAAAAGCUUCAUUCUCUAUCGAGAAGCCCAAACAAGACUUGAUCUGGAAACCACUGCGCAACACUUCAAAGAUAUUGGACUAAUUAUCUGACUAAUUAUCUGAACCACCCCAACACAAUAGUGACUUAAAACGAAAAAGAAGAAGAAAGAAUGGGACCAUACGUGGCAAUGCUGAAGGCCAGUGGCAGUUUCAAUUCUAGCUCUACUCCCCAAAGCCUACAGUUAGCAUUGAUGAGGACUGUCAACUGCUGGGGAUACAGGCAGCAUUUCUCUCUUCGGAUCACACACCUCUUGGGUGUUACUCGGCCAAGGGUUAAUCUCAUUACUAGCAAUGAACAGCGUCCAUAGCUAUCCCCCGAUUGCGCUCAAUUUGUGGUUCAAAUUUGUACCUGCCCAAUCGCUUUAACUCAAUAGCUGUCUCCCAUUGGGAUGUCAGAAGUCCUCAUAGUCUUUAAAAUUACACUCAGGGUGAGAUAAUUCUUUUUCAGCGAUUGCUCCUCUUGUCACUCUUCGGGCAACAGGGGAGUUAAUUAAGCGUAAACAACAACUUUUUCCCCUCCCCGCCAUUUCGCAGAGUUAUCUGUGGUAUUG